rnacentral:lncRNA from 1 species
AACCAGAUCUCACCCUUUGGAAUGGGCCUUACUCAAACCCCAUCAGUAAAACUCGAUAGGAACAACUUCCUGCUGUGGAAAAACAUGGUUAUGCCUAUAAUCAAAGGGCAUAACUUAGAAGGUUACCUACUUGGAACCAAAAAGUGUCCACCAGAGUUCUUAGCCACACAAACCACCACUGCUGGAGGAGAGGCAGUAGAGAUGGUUCAGAACCCAGAAUACAACAAAUGGGUUUCAACAGAUCAGCUACUAAUGGGCUGGUUAUACUCGUCCAUGACUCCAGAAAUAGCAAUGAGAGUCAUGGGGUGCAUCAGCUCAAACACGCUGUGGACAGCAAUAGAAGAAAGCUUCGGCAUAUUGAACAAAUCAAGAGUGAUGUUCCUUACUGGAGAAUUGUAGAGAACAAGAAAAGGGUCCAUGACCAUGGAUCAAUAUCUCACUAUAGUUAAACAAUUGGCUGACAACCUUCAGAUAGCUGGGAAGGUAGUUGAUCAUAGUGAUCUCAUAACACAAGUACUAUCAGGUUUGGAUGAUGAAUAUACACCUAUCGUUGUACAAAUCAAUAGCAGGGAUGAUAUAUCAUGGUAUGAGCUGUCCUCUAUACUAAUGACUUUUGAGAGUAGGCUUGAGUAUUUGAAUCAAGUGAAGAACAACUUUGCAUCACUAAACGUUGAGCACUCAAGUGUUCAACUAGCCCAAAGUGCAGGUCUAGGAAGUGGCAGAAGCUUUAGAGGAAGGACCCUGAAUUUUAGAGGUAGAUCAAGGGGAAGAGGUAGAGCAAACAGACCAAAUGAAAGCAAGGGACCUUGUCAGAUUUGUGGACUCAACAAUCACCUAGCUAGCUGGUGCUUCAACAGAUAUGAUAACAGAUACAUGGGUAACAGACCUAAUAAUCAAAACCAUCAAGGUAGUACCUCAAACCCCUCUGCAUAUGCUGCUGGACCAAGAAUACUUGAAGAUCCGGCCUAGUUUGCUGAUUCUGGUGCCAGCAACCAUGUGACAGCAAAUAAAGGUAACUUGAAUACUGGUAAGAAAUAUGAUGGUAAGGAGAAAUUGCUAGUUGGUGAUGGAAAUUCACUAAAAAUUGCACAUAUUGGUAAAGGAAGCAUCCCUACUUUAGACAAACCUCUUACUCUUAAUAAGUUACUUCAUGUGCCUGAAAUCAAAAGAACUUGAUCAGUAUAUCUCAGCUUACAUAUGAUAACAAUGUGUUUAUUGAAUUCUUUCCUGAUCAUUGUGCUGUGAAGGACCUGAAAACCAGGAAGACUCUGCUGCAGGGAAUGCUUAAGGAUGGAUUGUAUCGACUGGAGCCCCCAAACUCAAAGUCUAAACCUACAAAUCAAGAGUCAGACCAUCAAAAUAAUACCAGCUGUUUCACAGUAGGUUCCAGCUGUGAUGAGUCAACCAAAAGAGUCAAGUUAGAGUCAGAAGUUGAUGUAUGGCAUAGAAGGCUAGGUCAUCCAUCAAGUCUUGUGUUAGGUCAAGUUCUAAAGACAUGUAAUAAUUCCAUCAAAAUUAAUGAAAAACCAGCUUUCUGUGAACCAUGUCAAUUUGGCAAAUCUCAUGCACUACCUUUCAAUAUGUCUUCAUCUCAUGCUUCAAACCCCUUGGACUUGGUCUAUACGGAUGUCUGGGGACCAGCACCUAGGAAGUCCACCUCAGGGUUUAGAUACUAUAUCAUUUUUGUUGAUGAUCAUAGCCGGUUUACUUGGAUCUACCCCAUGAAACAUAAAUUUGAGGCACUAAACAUCUUUA